rnacentral:lncRNA from 1 species
GGCUAAUGGGUUGCCGCCUCCUCCAGUUCCCACUGAUAAUUUGAAAUAUCUUUUUAGCUUGCUUCCCACGUCACAUACACAAUUUCCCAUUUUUUUGAUGUGCCACAACAUGCAUCAGGAUCGACCCCGGGGCAACAAUAUCCAACUACUUCUAAUGUUUAUUUCCUCGCUCACAAAUCUAAGACUACCACAUACUCGGCUCUACCUGUUGUUCAUGCUUUCCCAGCGCCACCCCCACCUGAAGCUUCUACUUUUGAUGUUCAUCCACAAGUUGUGCCUCCCUACUCUACAAGAGAGCCUGCAUUGAAUAUUACUGGUGAUCAGCAUUACACUUUCGAGCCUACAUUCAAGUUGACUGGUCUUUAUGGUGACACUCACCCGC